rnacentral:rRNA from 1 species
AUUGAACGCUGGCGGCAUGCCUUACACAUGCAAGUCGAACGGUAACGGGCCUUCGGGUGCCGACGAGUGGCGAACGGGUGAGUAAUACAUCGGAACGUGCCCGAUCGUGGGGGAUAACGAGGCGAAAGCUUUGCUAAUACCGCAUACGAUCUACGGAUGAAAGCAGGGGACCGCAAGGCCUUGCGCGGACGGAGCGGCCGAUGGCAGAUUAGGUAGUUGGUGGGAUAAAAGCUUACCAAGCCGACGAUCUGUAGCUGGUCUGAGAGGAUGAUCAGCCACACUGGGACUGAGACACGGCCCAGGCUCCUACGGGAGGCAGCAGUGGGGAAUUUUGGACAAUGGGCGCAAGCCUGAUCCAGCCAUGCCGCGUGCAGGAUGAAGGCCUUCGGGUUGUAAACUGCUUUUGUACGGGACGAAAAGCCUUCUUUUAAUACAGGAGGGUCAUGACGGUACCGUAAGAAUAAGCACCGGCUAACUACGUG